GCCUUCGUGGUGUAACUGUAGCACACUCGGCAUGUAUUCGAGAGGUCCAGGUUCAAGUCCUGAUGAGGACA
rnacentral:tRNA from 1 species